rnacentral:lncRNA from 1 species
GAGGGCCACAACAAUGGUGAGGGGAGGCGACCUGAGAGGCUAAACGAGUGGAGAACGCCAGAGACGACAAUGAUCAGAGAUUGGCCAGAGGAGAGAACGAGAGAGACGAGAGAAGAGAGACGAGAGAGCUAGAGGAGGGUUGUUUCAUUAGACUGAAACGAGAGAGAAUACAAGAGAAAGAUGAAACCGCGAAACUGAAAAAUUGAUAUUUCAACUUCUAUUUUUGCCCUUGCUUCAGAACGAAAAUCAUUUCAUUUUUUUAAUUUAAGACACCUAAUGAAAAUAUGACACCUGUGUAGUGUCAAAGUAGAAUCAAAAAAGGUGUCUAAAUAUCAUUUUGCAUACUAAU